CAACUGCUUCCAGAGGGCUGAAAAUAACACCUUGGAAUAACCUGGGAGACCCGGCGGAGCAGCCCUCGCUUUUGGGACGGGUAUAUAAGGGGGCGCGUCCCGGCGAGGGGCACACACCUCCUCACCCUCUGCAGCGAUGAACACUCGCACCCUGCUGGUGGUGCUGCUGGUGUGCAGCGCCUUGCUGGCCAGCACCGGCGACACCACCACCGAGGCCUCGCCGGUGCCGGAGCCUGAGGCGGGCAGACCAAGACCCAGACCAAGACCCCCACGCUUACCCAGGCCAGAUCGGAGACCAAGACCAGGCCGGGGGUGACCGCCCGCUGAGGCUCUUCCUUCCCUGGGGUGGCUGUGAGUGUCAAGGCUCCUGCAAGUGCUGACCCCUCCACCAUGACCUGACCCGCACGAACACCGCCAACGGACCACGGACCACGGACAACUCUCAUGUUAUGCUUUCACUAUAUUUACUCCUCAAUAAAGGCAUGCAGUUCUCCCGCUAUGUGGCGCCUCAUUACCCUGUGUGGGGACGGGGGACAGCGGUGGGUCCAGGGCCUGGCAGGACCUGGUGGUGACGAGGGAGUGCCUUUGUCACGGACCCUAACACCAUCAUCAGGGAAACUGUAACAACACACCAGGAGAUCUGUAAAUGUACAGCACUGAGCGCCGGGCACUGAACCCGGGCCUCGGGGAUGAAGGCGGAGCACCACACCCACUGAACCACCGGCGUGCUACGGGACCACUGCCAGGUUAAGCGUCCCGGAACCCAUCACUCCGAGGACACAACGCUUGGAAGAACAUUUUGUGUAAUGCAGUGACGACACAGUGGCCGACAAAGCGCAGUACGAGUGUGGCGCCGAGGGAGGCAGGGAUUGGCCUGGUGGCAGAGCGUGCUCGACGCGCUACCCGAGUAAGUAUUCCCGAACAACACGAUGAUAUGCCCGGGGCGGGGCCGCCGCUGUCCACGGUGUCCGCGGGAAAUCCAUUCGGCACGUGCGUCUUGACAAACCACCUGGCACCGGCGCUGUGUCCAGGCGGGUAUAAGAGGCGGCGAAAAUGGAAGUCCCAAACAUUCCCUGGUGACCCACGAAAUGGAGCGACGCACCCUGCUGGUUGUGCUGCUGGUGUGCAGCGUCCUGCUGGCCGUCACCACCCCUGCCGAGGCCUCGCCGUGGCGAGAGACACGCCCCAUAAAGAGGCCCCCCCGACCCUUCCCCAGGCCCCCGAAGAUUCCAGGCUGUGUGUGCGUCACCUACCCGUGCAAAUGCUCCAGCUACGGCUAACGUGACAUUGAUGCCUGACGAAGACUACCACCACCAUCAACAAGAACAAGAACAACAAUACCACCACCACUCCCACCACCACCACCACCUCCACCAACACCCACCACGGAGCAGAACCACCCACCCACUCCUGCUCGCCAAGUCUCGGUCAAUAAAGGCAUAAAGGUUUCCGUGUUUCUGCUUCACCCUCCCGCCAACACCGCCACAAAAACGGAAUUCAACGCCGAGCAAGAAGGAGGUUCACGGCGCCUGCCACGUGACCGCCACCUGUCUCACACCUGUCUUACACUGUCGACAUGCGUGGCGCCCUUGUAUGUUGUCGGCCUUUGAUGUUAAUACUCUUGGGAACGGGGCACCAAACAACACAUAUUUACUUCUUCAAUGCUGAGACCGGAUGAGUUUGUGUGUAUUAAGGAAUAGGGAAAAACAAGGACUCUGAGCGGCCUGGGGCGGCGGUAAAGAGGACGACUCUUAAUAAAGGAAUAGACAAACAUGAAAAAUAAGUACAGGAAGUUUUUUUUCGGGGGGGAGCAAGGCAGAGAAACGAAAGAAGAUGAGAAGUAGAAUUGGUGACGUAGGUGAAUAAUAAUUCUGUAAACAGUAGGAGACGAAGAUGAAAACAAGAUAAAAGAUAAAAAAGUACAAAAGAUCAAAUGAGGGGAAAUAAAGAGAGAGAGAGAGAGAGAGAGAGAGAGAGAGAGAGAGAGAGAGAGAGAGAGAGAGAGAGAGAGAGAGAGAGAGAGAGAGAGAGAGAGAGAGAGAGAGAGAGAGAGAGAGAGAGAGAGAGAGAGAGAGAGAGAGAGAGAGAGAGAGGAAAACCUAACCCCGGCGCACUGGUCAGGUGAGUAUAUGAUGCAAUGCUCAGGUGACAAACACACACACACGCUGCCAGACUCUCGACAGGCAUGGAACGACACGCUCUGCUUUUUGUUCUGCUCGUGUGUGUGUGUCUCUGGGCCGUGACUGAGGCCUUUCCGAGGACAUUUGGCAACCCUGAGCCGAGGCUGAGAAGACCGCUCCGGCCGCAUCAAGCCGGAUGCCUCUGUUUCUACCCCCCAUGCGACUGUGAGUACGACUGGAGGACAUGGUGAUAGAUGGACAGGUGGGAGAGCGGGCAGGUGAGGGGGUCGAGGACACUGAUGGGAGAGCAAGAGUAUGAGGAAGGAAAAAGAGAAGUGUCUGCAUGUUAGUCGCCAUUAAGAAGAUCAGAAAGGUGGACGGGUUGGGUGCAUGAAGACACCGACUAAUGGAUUUAACAAAGAGUAUGAAGAAGCUACAGGAAGAGAGUCUGCGAGUACUUCACCAUCAAGAAGAUCAACAAGAGGAAAGGUGGACAGGUUGGGGGCAUGAAGAGAGACACCGCCUGACAGAUUUAACAAAGGGUAUGAAGAAGCUACUGGUAGAGUCUGCAAGUACUUCAACAUCAAGAUCAACAAGAGUAAAGUUGGAGAGGUUGGGGGAUGAAGAGACAUUAACUUUUUUUUAUUUUUAUAACAAAGGCAACAAAAAGUGUAUCAAAAAAGCCCGCUACUCACCGCUCCCACAACAGACAGAAGUAAAGAGUGGCCAAGAGAGAGGUCAAUUUCGGGUGGAGGUGGAUGGAUUAACUGAUGGAUUAACGUUGGGUAAAAGAGGAUGAAAGGAGAGAGGAGAGAGUGCAAGUUAUUUACCAUCAAGAAGAACAAUGUGAGGAGAUAUGGACAGGAAAGGGAAUCGAGAGACAAUAAAUGAUGGAAUAAGAACGUGUAUUAAGAGACUACAAGAGGAGAUUGUUCAAGUUAUUCCCCAUCAAGAUCAACAGGUGGAGAGAUGAACAGGUGAAGGAACCAAGAAAAACACCCGAAACUGACCUCUCGUUCUGGUCACUACCACCGUUGCCAUAUUAUCGUACCCAGAGCAUAGUAUUUACCGGUUUCUGACGCCUAACUAUUGCCAAGAAACAUCAGGAUCUAUCUCUUUUAACGUAAUUAUAAAUGAGUCUCGUUAUGGGGCCCCAGAAGACAGUUUUGGGGCAGGAAGUCGGGAAAUAUAAGCGGCUGAGCAUGACAAUCUGGCACCGUUGGGCCCACUAGCACGAUUUUUGUUGCUGCUGUCCCUCCCUUGCUGUAAAAAAAAAAAAAAAAAAAAAAAAAAAACUUACUAAUGAAUAAACAAAGGGUGUAAUGAGACUCCAAGAAGAUAUCGUUAGUUAUUCACCAUCACUCACUAUUCAUGCCUCUUGUGUAGUACUGUUAUCGGUUAUUCAUUCGCUCUUCAUUAGUUAUUCCCUCUCUCGUUAUGCGAUCGGACGAUUAAAGAGGAGCUUGUCAAGGAUGUUUGUAUAAAAUAAAAACCGCCUUUUCGUUGCUGUUUCUAUUAUUUGCCCUUGAGUCGCCUCCCUGUGAAAGUCAAGGCCAACAUGCAUUUCCAGAGGCCACAGAGGAGGUGAGUCGGGUUCUUCUGAGUGCUUCUGACCUUCAUGGUGUUCGGGGUGGGAAAAAAGAACAAAGGAUACAGGAAGACGGAAGGACGGUAGAAAAUAGUUGACUGAUGGUGGCUGGAACGUACAGGUGGUAAAAUGAACGUACAGGUGGUAAAAUGAACGUACAGGUGGUAAAAUGAACGUACAGGUGGUGAAAUAAACGUACAGGUGGUAAAAUGAACGUACAGGUGGUAAAAUGAACGUACAGGUGGUAAAAUGAACGUACAGGUGGUAAAAUGAACGUACAGGUGGUGAAAUAAACGUACAGGUGGUGAAAUAAACG